GGAGAAUAAAGCAUACUUCCUGUCACAGGAUAGGUGCUCAGAAGCUAGAAGCCCUGAUUCCUGAGCCAGGUGGGGUGGUCCCUGGCAUGCUCUAGCUCUGAAAUACCCCCUGCCCAGAAAUCAUGCCAGACAAAAUGUCAGGUGGUGGUGGGGCCCAGUUCUCCAAUUUCCCAGUCUGACAAACAGAAAUCAAUUUUGUGUCUGUUAGAGCCAUUACGACUUCAUCAACCACACAGCAAAUCCAUGUGCCCUAUUUGAUUUUCCUUUUAGGAACCAGCUAUCAAUACUGACCUUUCCAUGGGUGCUGGCCGUGGCGAGUUUGUUAGCCAGGCCUCUUCCCCUCCCAUCCAUGGCCAGGCAGCCCCUCACUGCCCACACUCAGCCCAGAGGAGGUGCUCUGACUCCUCCUGGACUAUACUGAAGACUUCUGGAGAGUUUAUUAAAUGCGGGUUCCAGGUCCCCUUCCCCAACUCCAAAUCUACCAGAUGGGUAUCUCCAGAAGUGGGUCCAGGACAUGCUUUUCACCAAGUCUCCAGUGACUCUGGUUUGGGAGUCACUGCUCUAGAGCAGCACAGGACAUCGGCCUCACGGUCUGUCUCCCCAAGGAGGACAGUCCACGAAGGGAGCUGGGAAAGAUUAGGUGACUUAACGGUAAAGAAAGGGGUUAAAGAGAGGAGAAAAUAUCUUGUUGUCUUUAAUCCUUCAAGAUUGAAGGAAUCUUACUGCCCUUAUUCCUUUAGAGAGAGGGAGACACUGUUGGUUUGGUGCAGACACACACAGGCCAGAGUCACUUUAAACUCCUGCUCAGCCACUUACUAGUCGCACACUCUUCUCAGGUAGCUUCUCUUAGCUUUUAGUAUCUCCCCAAUUUUCAAAUGGGAAUGCUAAUAUCUAGUUCAAAGAAUUAUGGAUGAAAGCAUGCAAAAUUCAUAACACAGGAUCUGGCAUAGAGUAGGUGUGCCUAUUAUCAAUUUAUUGCCUCUCAGUUCCACAUCUGUCCUUCUCUGCCCUA
rnacentral:lncRNA from 1 species